rnacentral:rRNA from 1 species
UACGGAGGGAGCUAGCGUUGUUCGGAAUUACUGGGCGUAAAGCGCACGUAGGCGGCUUUGUAAGUUAGAGGUGAAAGCCCGGGGCUCAACCCCGGAAUUGCCUUUAAGACUGCAUCGCUUGAAUCCGGGAGAGGUGAGUGGAAUUCCGAGUGUAGAGGUGAAAUUCGUAGAUAUUCGGAAGAACACCAGUGGCGAAGGCGGCUCACUGGACCGGUAUUGACGCUGAGGCGCGAAAGCGUGGG